rnacentral:rRNA from 1 species
AGCGAACGCUGGCGGCAGGCCUAACACAUGCAAGUCGAACGAACUCUUCGGAGUUAGUGGCGGACGGGUGAGUAACACGUGGGAACGUGCCUUUAGGUUCGGAAUAACUCAGGGAAACUUGAGCUAAUACCGGAUGUGCCCUUCGGGGGAAAGAUUUAUCGCCUUUAGAGCGGCCCGCGUCUGAUUAGCUAGUUGGUGAGGUAAAGGCUCACCAAGGCGACGAUCAGUAGCUGGUCUGAGAGGAUGAUCAGCCACAUUGGGACUGAGACACGGCCCAAACUCCUACGGGAGGCAGCAGUGGGGAAUCUUGCGCAAUGGGCGAAAGACUGACGCAGCCAUGCCGCGUGAAUGAUGAAGGUCUUAGGAUUGUAAAAUUCUUUCACCGGGGACGAUAAUGACGGUACCCGGAGAAGAAGCCCCGGCUAACUUCGUG